GAAAGGAGGUGAAGCGGCAGCGGUGGGUCGGAGGGGGGCGGGUGUCACCGCAGAUGAAAAUGGGAUCUGUUUUUGGAACAUGCAUGGUCAGUGGAAUAAGACGAAGAGAGAAGUGUCUCCCUCAGGGCGGCGCAGUGACAUUUAACUCAAUAUCCCAGAA